GACGAACGCUGGCGGCGUGCCUAAUACAUGCAAGUAGGACGCAGUUGCGAACGGGUGAGUAACGCGUAGGUAACUGCCUAUUAGAGGGGGAUAACUAUUGGAAACGAUAGCUAAUACCGCAUACUAGUAGAUGGACCUGCGUUGUAUUAGCUAGUAGGUAGGGUAAUGGCCUACCUAGGCGACGAUACAUAGCCGACCUUAGAGGGUUGUCGGCCAACCUGGGACUGGGACCAGGCCACGACUCCCACGGGGUGCAGCAGUGGGGAGUGUGCUGAAAUGGUGUGAACCCUGAUCGAGCAACGCUGUGUGAGUGACGAAGUUUUGCGGAUCGUAAUGCGCUGUUGUUAAGGAAGCGGUACCUAACCAGAAAGGGACGGCUCACUACGUGCCAGCAGCCGCGGUAAUUC
rnacentral:rRNA from 1 species